GAUUCAUAAUGCCAGGGCUCUCAUGGCUCUUCCUUCCUCCAGAUGUUCAAGUCCUUUCAGUUGCUGCCGUUUCAAAAAAACCAAAGUGCCAUGACUACACAAUUGAAGAGCUCAUCACCAAGAGCUUCAAUAACGUCAUCUAGCAAUCAGAUUGGCUAGAUGAAUAUGGAGAAAGGUGAAUUUCAUGUAAGACGUGGUUGAGAUUUGUAAUAGAAAUUG